rnacentral:lncRNA from 1 species
AACACCUAUAAGAAGAUGUAAACUAAUGUACCUCAUCAUUAACUAUACUGUCCCCACAGUUAGCAGUGAAGACAGUAGCAGUGUAUAGAUACGGGAUCAAAUAACUCAGCAUGUACUAUGGAAACACUAACUUAUUGUGGCUUGGUCUUCUUAAGACAUCUUUUUAAACUUACUUAGUAUCAUUUUAUGUAAAUUGUUGAUGCUUUCCAUCAAUGGCAGUCGACAUGUCAUCUUUUCCUUCUCUGUGUAUCAAGAUAUUAUUUAACUUUCAGUCACUGAUACUGUACUGUACUGUACUGUUCUGACUUGGGUUUGCAUAUUUGUUACAUAACAUGCACGGGAAUACCUAUUUAUGGUUUUAUUUUUAUUUUUCCUAUGGUUAUAUCAAUGCUGCGGUUUCUCCAAAUUAUUUAAGAUGUUUAAUAUCAGUUAACAUUUUAACUCCCUGUCUGGUGGUAUUACUUCUGUGUUAAUUCACAGUGAACAUUUACAAUCAUAUAAAUUCAUUCAAUUUUUAACCUUUCACAUCUAUCCAAAAUGAAGCAGUGUUUUAAGUAUGUCUGAUUCACUUUAAUUUUGAGCCAUGCUGUGUUAAGAGCCAGAGGUUAAUCGGAUGGAACAAUUCUCUGGCCUCCCUUUUACACAAACCAUACAUGCUAACAAGUGUACUUAUCUCUGAUUGGCUCUUUACCUUUAAUUUCCCAACUUUGAACAAUCACACAGUGAAUUCUGGUUUGUGAGAGAAAGGCAGUGCUUGGAUAUGUCCGGUCUCUUAAAAUAGGGAUUAAGAGAGUAGGGAAAACUAAGAAAUUUAUAAUGACAUUUGGAAAUUAGGCUAAAAUAAUUUUUUUUUUAUAGAAAAUGGAAAUUUUCAAGGAGGUUGUGUGGGGUGGAUGAUAAAGUUCCAGUGCUGCCGGGAAGGUUCAGGAAGCAUCAGUUCUAUGGCUUUGGAAAGAGUUUCCCCUGAUGUGUUGUCAUUGUCUCAUGGAACGGAAGGAGCCAAAAUAUCCCAUGCUUAAUCCUAAUCUCAUUAGAUCUUGCUUUGUGACUUUUUUCUGGAUGAAUAUUUUAGAAACAACAUGUAUUUUCUAGUUUGCUACCUAGUCUGUAACACAAGGAGAGGUCCUUUCUCCCUUUGGUGGAUGGUUUUCUUCUUUCGUGGUGGUUAUGCACACAGUUGGUGAAAGCUGUGUGUGUGUGUGUGUGUGUGUGUGUGUGUGUGUGACAGCUGUGUCCUGUGUCUGACCUGAACACCGUCCUGAGAAUCCCGAGCUUUAAUUGCUGAACUGCCCCCCCCCUUUAUCUCAUUUGCUCUACAUGUUAAAAAGUUAUAUGUAGCAGAAUAAUUGGACAUGUGGAAGAGAGAAACUGAAGUUAGAAUUUAAUCCUUGGGGAAUUAAAAUUAUUCAUGUUUCCUAAGUAGAUGGAAAAGAUGAACUUCACGUGACUAUGCUUUCUAAAUCUUAUUUUGGAGUUUUGUUUGCACAUAAUUACUUUGGGCUCCUUUUAAAGAAAAUUUCUUUUCCAUAAGAAAGCAUGUCAUAUAUUGUUUUCUUUGCACUUUGUCCUGUCCAUUUAUCAUAGAAUUUAAGGAAAGAUAGCAUAAAAGUAAAAAACAUCAAAUUCUCAUAUACACAAGUAAUAUUCUCCUUUGGUCAGGCUAGCAUCACAUGACUUGAGGUGGCAGACAGAUUCAUCUUUGCUCACAUGUCCCACGACAGCAAGCACAAGGUUCCAGGUGAAAGGCUAGAAUGCACAUUUUACUUUCUGUGUAGACAUGUGAGUGCUCUUUCCUUCCCUUGUGUAUCGGUGGCAUGUCCUGUCUUUGUUUGUCAGUGCUGUAUUGUGGUGCUUAACUCUUCUUUGUAUUAAAUACCAUCUCCAGAAACUUGUCUUGGAGUUUAGAAAGCACUUUGGAUUGUUGAUUUUUUUUUUCUUUCUCUUGAAAAAGCUCCUCGUCCUUAUUACCAGAAUUUCUGUUAACAGAAUUAUGCCAGUUUUGUUGAAAACUUCACUUAUGGGAGGUGUAACUUUCACACGAAAGACAUGCUAAUUUUCAGUCAAAAUUUUUGAAUCAUAUUUAAUCAAUAAAAUGCUUUCAAUCAUUAUGAUACUUCGUUUUCAAAAGCAGACAAACAAAAUUAAAGUCUCGUUCUCUCGAGCUCUGGCUCUGACCUAACAUGGUACUUUGCACAGUGUGAUUUCUGAAGGUGGCCCCUUUAAGUUAAGGACUCCAUACCACCCGUGUUGAGCGUUUUUCACCACAGAGACUCUGAUGCCAGCUGAAACUGGACUGCCCUCUUUCUCAUAGCAGCUGUUCUCUAUCAGCGUUAGAGCUGCAGCGGACGGCAUCGUGCGCUGCUGUAGUCCUGUCUGUUCAGAAUCCAUGGUGUUUGUGUAUUAUGAUUUAUGGACUUGUUGAUGCAUGUAAACUGGGUGCAUUCUGUUGCCUCUGUAUGUUAAAUAGUGACCAAUGUUUUUACGAAAGAAUUGAACAAAAAAAUAUCUUUU